AGUGAACGCUGGCGGUAGGCCUAACACAUGCAAGUCAAACGGCAGCACAGUAAGAGCUUGCUCUUACGGGUGGCGAGUGGCGGACGGGUGAGGAAUACAUCGGAAUCUACUUUUUCGUGGGGGAUAACGUAGGGAAACUUACGCUAAUACCGCAUACGACCUACGGGUGAAAGCAGGGGAUCUUCGGACCUUGCGCGAUUGAAUGAGCCGAUGUCGGAUUAGCUAGUUGGCGGGGUAAAGGCCCACCAAGGCGACGAUCCGUAGCUGGUCUGAGAGGAUGAUCAGCCACACUGGAACUGAGACACGGUCCAGACUCCCACGGGAGGCAGCAGUGGGGAAUAUUGGACAAUGGGCGCAAGCCUGAUCCAGCCAUACCGCGUGGGUGAAGAAGGCCUUCGGGUUGUAAAGCCCUUUUGUUGGGAAAGAAAAGCAGCAGGUUAAUACCCCGCUGUUCUGACGGUACCCAAAGAAUAAGCACCGGCUAACUUCGUG
rnacentral:rRNA from 1 species